rnacentral:rRNA from 1 species
GAUGAACGCUGGCGGCGUGCCUAAUACAUGCAAGUCGAGCGAACAGACGAGGAGCUUGCUCCUCUGACGUUAGCGGCGGACGGGUGAGUAACACGUGGAUAACCUACCUAUAAGACUGGGAUAACUUCGGGAAACCGGAGCUAAUACCGGAUAAUAUAUUGAACCGCAUGGUUCAAUAGUGAAAGACGGUUUUGCUGUCACUUAUAGAUGGAUCCGCGCCGCAUUAGCUAGUUGGUAAGGUAACGGCUUACCAAGGCAACGAUGCGUAGCCGACCUGAGAGGGUGAUCGGCCACACUGGAACUGAGACGCGGUCCAGACUCCUGCGGGAGGCAGCAGUAGGGAAUCUUCCGCAAUGGGCGAAAGCUUGACGGAGCAACGCCGCGUGAGUGAUGAAGGUCUUCGGAUCGUAAAACUCUGUUAUUAGGGAAGAACAAAUGUGUAAGUAACUAUGCACGUCUUGACGGUACCUAAUCAGAAAGCCACGGCUAACUACGUG